rnacentral:lncRNA from 1 species
AUGGAAUUUGGGCUGAGCUGGGUUUUUCUUGCUGCUAUUUUAAAAGGUGUGCAGUGUGAGGUGCAGCUGGUGGAGUCUGGGGGAGGCUUGGUCCAGCCUGGGGGGUCCCUGAGACACUCCUGUGCAGCCUCUGGAUUCACCUUCAGUAACAGUGACAUGAACUGGGUCCUCUAGGCUCCAGGAAAGGGGCUGGAGUGGGUCUCGGAUAUUAGUUGGAAUGGCGGUAAGACGCACUAUGUGGACUCCGUGAAGGGCCAAUUUACCAUCUCCAGAGACAAUUCCAGCAAGUCCCUGUAUCUGCAAAAGAACAGACAGAGAGCCAAGGACAUGGCCGUGUAUUACU